CAAAAUCUGUGCUCACGGGUAGCUCUUGCCUGUCUCAGAGCUGCCAACAGCAUGCGGGCUAGCACCGCCGGCCAUGGCUUCCACCCACGCCUCUUCGGCUGAGUUGAUGUGUGCAGCUGCCCAGUCCUAGCUGCAGGCAAGUGCUUAGAUGACGUAGCUGCCAUGUCGUGGGUGGAAUAUAUUGUUACAUAGAGAAGCUGAAGUCUUCGGGAACAAUACCAAGAUCUGUGACUGCUGCCACCCGCUCACCUUCAGGUUGGAGAGUUUGUCUAGGGGACACCUGCCGGCGCCUUGUUUUCACGGCCCUUUCGGCCAAGCACUCACUCACCAUUUCG